CCCUCUUCCCAAAAAAUUAUUCAAUCACCACAACUACUCAAAAACACACAAAACAACCAACCUUCUUUCCUUUCUCUUUCUUCUCCCUCUCAUUACUUUCCAAGCCGGAAAACUCUAGCGGCCAUAGUUGUCGUAUCUCCGCUGCUAGGCUAUCAAGAUUUUUUCACUUUCGGCUUUCCCAACCCGUGAAAUCAGCGAUGGCUGAGAAGUCAGUCCCAAAUCUAUACAAAAAUUUAAAUUUGAACCUCAAAAUCAUCCACGAAAGGGACGACACUCAAGGAUUUCGAAUCCCCCUCUUCUUCCACACAAUUUUUUACAAAUCGUUGUUUCAAAUUCAGACUUUCAAAUCCGAAUUUGCACUAAUAAAUGUGGGUCUUACCAUUUCCACGAAGAAUAAGGUCUGGUAGUCAAGAAAAAGAAUGAAAACUUGAAAAGACAGACAGAGGAAUGGAAGGAAAAAAGAGAGAAAAAUCAAAACUAAAAGUGAAUUUAAAGUCGGAGAGUGGAAAAAACAGUGUAAACGGUUAGAAAUUAGAGAGAAAAAUUAGUGAAAAAAGUGGGAGGUUCACUGGAAAGUCUCGAAGUCUCUAGUUUCUUUUUGAUUUUUGUCCAAGUUUGAAUCCUCGGAGUCUAAUUCGUCUGCCGAAAAAUCCUUGUCAUCGAAGCCUCAGUUUUGCUGCUCGAAAAAGGAGUUGGAGUUUCGAUCGAAACUCAUUUCUGACCCAAAGAUCGGAUCAACCGCUUUAGGAUCUUCAGCAUUCGGGGUCUACACCAUUAGGAAUUGGCCCCUUUCUAAAAGAACUUGGUUGUAUCUAGUCCUUUGCUUUCUUCACAUUUUCUUCUUAUUGUUAUUUAUUCUAUUAAUCUUGUAUUUCUUCUAAUAUUUAUUUUGUGUGGAUUGAUCGAUGUUGAAUAACUUCAUAUUUGUUUAGCUUUGU